CUUUUUGGAGACAGAUUCGCAGUGGUCGCUUCUUCUCCUUGGAUUUGUUAAGGAUUCCAAGUAACUCUUAUUUGGAGAGAAGACGAUCUGCACUUCGCAUUUUGGCAUUGACAUUUAAUUUUAGGGUCCUUUAUAUAGAAGGGAGAGUAGGUAAACUGAUUUUUUUUUUUAACAGGGAGGGUUUGACAAUCUUUGGCAGACUUGGAGCAAAAGAUUGAGGUGCAUUUCAUGCCUCCUUUUGAGAGUCUUGCUCUGUCGCCCAGGCUGUAGUGCAGUGGCGCAAUCUUGGCUGCAACCUCAGCCUCCCAAGUAGCUGGGAUUACAAACAUAAGCCACCACGCCCAGCCCUCAUACCUCUUUUAAAAGUCGACCUGUUUUGCAGAAAGUCUGCUGUUUUUGUACUAAAGGCUUUGGAAUUUGGCAUUUAGCUAGGAAUGCACAUUCUUUCACCUCAUUCAUACUUUAAGAACCACAGAAGUGACUCUGCUUGGCCAGAAGGCACACUGUGUUGGUGGUUAUAUUAAAAGUCCUUGAGUAUUUUGCUUUUCAUGAUCUUGCUCACUGCAACUUCCGCCUCCCAGGAGAAUUGCUUGAACC
rnacentral:lncRNA from 1 species